UAGUUUAUCUACUGUCUACCUACCAC
rnacentral:piRNA from 1 species